GCGAAAUGUUUAAAUCGUUUUGUUUGUUUUACGCCGCGACGAAUUUCUAUAUCAUCCGAGACUGCAGUAACGAUAACCGGAUCGACUAACAUUCUAGGACGUUGGCAAAGGUAGUAGUUGGAGAUUCAGUCACAAUCGUUUGAUCUCAGCAUCUAAGCGGUGUUGUGUAAUUACCAUUGCACCAGCCGCAGCAAAUCAGGAAUGUUAAUCCCGUCGCCUAUCCCGGGACUUUGGCGGGAUAUGAUUGUUUCGAACCAUACGGGAGUUCUACUCUUAGAACAGCAGCUGAAGAAGAAGAAGAAAGUAUGCCGGAAAAUGUCCUCAUCAACCAAUGCAAGAACCGUCGCAAUAAGUAGAUGGGCAAAGUUAGCGGAGAAAAAAUUGCCACAAAGAAGAAACAACUUCUUAAAACCGAAAAAUCCGCAACAACACGGUCCAAACACCGAAAUAGAAAUGUGUCCAGUAUCGUCAACAUCAGAUCCGCUCAGGAGAAAACGCUUGGGAAACAUGGAUGUUGUUUAUAAGUAGGUACAUCAGAUGUAACGGUACGUGUCAAUGUUUUUUUUCUGAUUUCCAACCGGAUCUUGCAUUAAAAAUUAACAAUAGCUUCGUUCACUCGUAAGUAGAGAUAGGUUCCUACUGGUUUUUGUCAACUGGUAAAUAAUUAAAGUAAUAUGAUAUUCGCAUUCAAUAUCAAAAUUAUUUUUCAUUAUGACUAAUGUACCAUGAACACUGUAUAAAAAUAGACGAUAUUAUGAACAUUGUAUUGUGAACAUAUAUAACCCUCAUUUGUUCUAAGUGGAGAAAUACUCAUGAAACAUUUAAAUUAAGCGGCAUCAACUAUAACAUACUACCCAUUGGAUAAAGUAAAAGAUAUAUAAUUGACGUAUAAAAUUAGUUCCUUCUGAAGCUUAUCGUAACAUGCACGAAAAAAGAAAAUUUAUGAGCUCAUAAAAGUGUUCAAAACAUUUAGAUGUAAUAAUCUGAUAUAACGUUACAUGUAUACUGGUGUUAAAUGCACAUUUUUCUUAAUUAAAUGCCAAGACUAUGCCGCUUAUCUAA